rnacentral:rRNA from 1 species
GAGUUUGAUUCUGGCUCAGGAUAAACGCUGGCGGCGUGCCUAACACAUGCAAGUCGAACGCCCUUUCGCAAGAAAGGGAGUGGCGGACGGGUGAGUACCACGUGGGUACCUACCCCAAGAUGAGGAAUACCUCCGAGAAAUCGGAGACAAGACCGCAUACCCUUCUUCCAGAAGGAAAGCCCGCAAGAGCGUCUUGGGAUGGGCCUGCGCCUGAUUAGCUGGUUGGUGGGGUAAGAGCCUACCAAGGCGUCGAUCAGUAGCUGGUCUGAGAGGAUGAUCAGCCACACUGGGAUUGAGAACGGCCCAGACUCCUACGGGGGGCAGCAGUGAGGAAUUUUCGUCAAUGGAGGCAACUCUGAACGAGCAACGCCGCGUGCAGGAUGACACCCUUCGGGGCGUAAACUGCUUUUCUCGGAGAAGAGAGCGGACGGUAUCCGAGGAACAAGCCCCGGCUAACUACGUGCCAGCAGCCGCGGUAAUACGUAGGGGGCAAGCGUUGUCCGGAGUUACUGGGCGUAAAGGGCCCGCAGGCGGUGCGCCAAGUUCCCACUGACAAUCUCCCGCUUAACGGGAGAGGGUGUGGGAAAACUGGGGCACUUGAGCAGGAGAGAGGGACAGGGAAUUCCGGGUGGAGUGGUGAAAUGCGUAGAUAUCCGGAGGAACCCCAAUGGCGAAGGCACUGUCCUGGCUCCUUGCUGACGCUCAGGGGCGAAAGCCAGGGGAGCGAACGGGAUUAGAUACCCCGGUAGUCCUGGCUGUAAACGAUGACCACUAGACGUUCGGGGUAUCGACCCCCUGAGUGUCGCAGCUAACGCGAGAAGUGGUCCGCCUGGGGAGUACGGUCGCAAGAUUAAAACUCAAAGGAAUUGACGGGGACCCGCACAAGCAGCGGAGCGUGUGGUUUAAUUCGAUGCAACGCGAAGCACCUUACCAGGGUUUGACAUGGUUGUGAUACUCCUAGAGAUAGGACUUCCUUCGGGACACAAUCACAGGUGCUGCAUGGCUGUCGUCAGCUCGUGCCGUGAGGUGUUGGGUUAAGUCCCGCAACGAGCGCAACCCUCAUCGGUAGUUGGAUUUGUCUACCGAGACUGCCGCGAUCAACGUGGAGGAAGGUGGGGAUGACGUCAAGUCAGCACGGCCCUUACAUCCUGGGCGACACACACGCUACAAUGGCGAGGACAACGAGUUGCCAACCCGCGAGGGGGAGCUAAUCUUCCAAACCUCGUCCCAGUUCAGAUUGCAGGCUGCAACCCGCCUGCAUGAAGGUGGAGUUGCUAGUAACCGUGAGUCAGCACAUCACGGUGAAUCCGUUCCCGGGUCUUGUACACACCGCCCGUCACACCACGAAAGUCGGCAACCCCUGAAGCCGCUGGGCUAACCCGCGAGGGAGGCAAGCGUCGAGGGUGGGGUCGGUGAUUGGGGUGAAGUCGUAACAAGGUAGC